AACGAACGCUGGCGGCAUGCCUAACACAUGCAAGUCGAACGAGACCUUCGGGUCUAGUGGCGCACGGGUGCGUAACGCGUGGGAACCUGCCCUUAGGUUCGGAAUAACUCCCCGAAAGGGGUGCUAAUACCGGAUAAUGUCUUCGGACCAAAGAUUUAUCGCCUUUGGAUGGGCCCGCGUUGGAUUAGCUAGUUGGUAGGGUAAAAGCCUACCAAGGCGACGAUCCAUAGCUGGUCUGAGAGGAUGAUCAGCCAUACUGGGACUGAGACACGGCCCAGACUCCUACGGGAGGCAGCAGUGGGGAAUAUUGGACAAUGGGCGAAAGCCUGAUCCAGCAAUGCCGCGUGAGUGAUGAAGGACUUAGGGUUGUAAAGCUCUUUUACCCGGGAUGAUAAUGACAGUACCGGGAGAAUAAGCUCCGGCUAACUCCGUG
rnacentral:rRNA from 1 species